rnacentral:misc_RNA from 1 species
AAAAAGAUUAAGAUUACAGUCACAAUAAUCUUGUAACAAAUAUCAAAACAAUCAGAAAUAAGAUUUAAUUAUUGGGAUAUUGAAUAAUUUUCAACAAUUUAUACCAACAAAAAAAACUAGGGGGGAGACAGUUUACUUUGUCUCACUAACCACAGUAGCAACAGGUCCACCACCUUCCUAAGAGGCUGAGGCAGCUUCUAAAAUCUUCCUAGCAUCUUGAAGCUUGUCAGCAAUUUCCAGAUCGGUAUAUCCUUGUUCAGCGAGGAUGUCUUCAAGCACAACAAGCUUGAGAUGGAUUUGGCGCUUGCGUUCAUGCUCAAGUAUAUCCUUAUUGGGUUUCUUGGUGAAACCAGCAGUGCCCUGGUCAACCUUAGCAGUCUUUGGCUUCACGGAGAAUUUGUUGGUCUGUAUAUAACCAUUGGUGCCAGACCCUCUUGGGGUCUGUAACCCUAUUCCCUUAUACAUCUCCUGGUUGGCUGCAACCCCUCACUAUUCUUUACAAACUCCGAUAGCUCUAAUCAACCCUAACCCUAACAAAAAUUGAAGAGCUCCGAUUAGAAAUAGUUUGUGGAGAGAAGAAGAUAUGUCGCGGAGAGGGCGGUUGGCUUGGUAUAAGGGUUUCACUUAUACAGGCGGAAAUAGAAAAUCCUAAAUUG